rnacentral:pre_miRNA from 1 species
GGUAGUGGCUUCAGCCACAAAACCGUCGACGGUUGUCGGAGGAUUGCGGACAAGGCCCCCGAAAAUUUCAGCCUUUGCGUCCUCAUGCGUGGCGUGAAGGGCUUUGUCCGCAAUCCUCCGACAACCGUCGACGGUUUUGUGGCUGAAGCCAUUAC